rnacentral:rRNA from 1 species
UACAGAGGUCUCAAGCGUUGUUCGGAUUCAUUGGGCGUAAAGGGUGCGUAGGUGGCGGGGUAAGUCAGGUGUGAAAUCUCGAGGCUCAACCUCGAAACUGCACUUGAUACUGCCUUGCUCGAGUACUGGAGAGGAGAUUGGAAUUUACGGUGUAGCAGUGAAAUGCGUAGAUAUCGUAAGGAAGACCAGUGGCGAAGGCGAAUCUCUGGACAGCAACUGACGCUGAGGCACGAAGGCCAGGGGAGCAAACGGG